UACGUAGGGUGCGAGCGUUGUCCGGAAUUACUGGGCGUAAAGAGCUCGUAGGUGGUUUGUCGCGUUGUUCGUGAAAACUCACAGCUUAACUGUGGGCGUGCGGGCGAUACGGGCAGACUGGAGUACUGCAGGGGAGACUGGAAUUCCUGGUGUAGCGGUGGAAUGCGCAGAUAUCAGGAGGAACACCCGUGGCGAAAGCGGCUCUCUGGAACGGUACUGACGCUGAGACGCGAAAGCGUGGGGAGCGAACAGG
rnacentral:rRNA from 1 species